rnacentral:tRNA from 1 species
GCCUAGGAAGCUCAGUCGGUAGAGCAGGGGAUUAAAAAUCUCCGUGUCGGGGUUCGAUUCCAUCCCUAGGCA